GCCACCCAAUUAAUAUAUACUGCCUCUGCCUCAUCAUCAUACAAAGGCAAUAAUAGUGCCUUAUUAAUAUUCAUUGUAACUAAAGGUGGAUUAGGACUACCUCGCAACUCGUUAUAAUGUUUGCUUUAUAAAGAUUAAAAAAAUAUGUCCUGGUCAGCAUUUAGAUUUUCAAAUUUUCCUUUAUCCACUAGCCUAUAAUAGACUGAAGACAAGUGAUUUGAUUUCAUUGUAUCCUUUGUUGAGUAGACAAAUGAAAGAAGCGAGUGUUAUGAUCCCCUUCUUGAAGCC
rnacentral:lncRNA from 1 species